GGCUGAAAUAGAGUAAUUUGCAGCUGUAGCCUGUAUACCAUACAUUCAACAUGAAAAGGACUGUCAGGAUGCUGCAUAAAAUGGUCUUAGCUAAAGCCUAGAAUGUUAAUUUCUUGGGAAUAUGCUGCAAGAAACUGAUGGGGAGCAGUUUUUCUUACCAAUCAUAGAAGCAGUAAGAUAGAGCCAAAGAAGUACUCAAACACUUGACAUACCCAGAAAGAUCAAGAAGAAAAGAUUGGAACAGAUUGUAGCUUAAUUGUUAAAACUAUUAAAGUGAAUUUAAGCUGCACUUGAACUGUAUUUUUGAAAUAAAAUAUCUGAAGUAUUUAAUAUUGUCUUGAUAUUUUGUUAAACUUGGUUACUUUGCUUUAUAUCCAAAAAUUAAAGUAUGGUGGGUUUUCAAUGUUGAAAUGACAUUGAAACUUCAACAUUGUGCCAACGUUGAAGGUGCAACGUUGUAUCAACGUUGAAAUUUCAACGUUGUUUCAACUUUCAAAUCCGAAUAUAAAUCCAACCUUAUUUCAACGUUGAAAUCUGACCAUAAUUCAACGUU